rnacentral:rRNA from 1 species
UACGUAGGGUGCAAGCGUUACUCGGAAUUACUGGGCGUAAAGCGUGCGCAGGCGGUGAUGUAAGACAGGCGUGAAAUCCCCGGGCUUAACCUGGGAACUGCAUUUGUGACUGCAUCGCUGGAGUGCGGCAGAGGGGGAUGGAAUUCCGCGUGUAGCAGUGAAAUGCGUAGAUAUGCGGAGGAACACCGAUGGCGAAGGCAAUCCCCUGGGCCUGCACUGACGCUCAUGCACGAAAGCGUAGGGAGCAAACAGG